ensembl:lncRNA
CGAGGAUUCAGUCAGAGGUGGCAAGGAGGGCACAGCCAACGAGGAUUCAGUCAGAGGUGGCAAGCAGGGCACAGCCAACGAGGAUUCAGUCAGAGGUGACAACCCAGCAAGCAGGGCACAGGAGUGAUUUCAAAAGCCAUGCCGCUAAUAAAAUGGUUUUAACGGGAGUUACAUGGAGCUCUUCCCUGAGAGCCAGGAGGCGAUCUGUAGUAAGGCAAACAUCCUCCACACCUGUGCUUGUCGGUCCGUCAGUCAGUCCCAUGUCCUAAGGAUAUCCGUUCAUCAGCCGAGGUUAUGCCACCAGAAAUAAACACACGAUACAGCUGACAUGGACUACCUGAUUGGCUCAUUCGUAACGUCAUUAUCGCCAACCUACAUGAACGAGCGGUUUAGAAUGUAAUGCUUAAUAUUACCAGUAGAUGACGCCACAUUCCUGUUUUUUUUGUUUUUUCUGCUCCCAUUUUUCCAAUGUCUUGAUUUUUUCAUUGUGUCUUGACCGCAUGGUCCGGUAGACAAAGCAAGGUGGAGGCAAUGCGCUGAGCUCACACUUUGCAGCGGACAGAACAAUUCAAUAGCCUAUGUUUUCUUUGGCUAUAAAUGACAACAACAACAAAAACAACCACUGGCUGGUAUUUGUUUUGCAAAAACAUGACAAAAUCAUAUUUGAGAAAUAUCUUUUUAAAUUUGUAAGUCUUAUUUGUUCCAUAAACCUACCGCUCAAAAUAUAUGUUUGGUAGAUAUAAACUAUUAUUAUUAGCACCAAGAAAUACGUCUCUUCAUAUCUUCCUGUUCUGUUCAGGACCGAAAUGUAAGAGAUUGAAUUGUAAAAGCAACAGUUUCUUAUGAAUUCAACAGAGCGUUUGUACUGUGUGUGUCUGGUCAUAGACAAGAAGCAGCUCAUCCUCUCUUAACGGGGAGACCUUCAAAGCCGCGGCGCCACCGCGCUUUGUUCACUUUCAUUGUCUCUAAUUCAUUCAUUUAAAUCAGUUUCAUCCAUGUGGAUGAAGAAAAACAAGACAAAAACUGAUCAUGUAAAUACAGAGUUUCCCGUUUUACCAUGAACUGUGUGUUAUUGCUUUCAUGUUGAAGAUGUGUCUCUGAUGCAAUAGAUGUAUGGAGUUGACAAAGAAAAUA